UUUAAUUUUCAUGUGUCCAUUUCGAACUUUCUUCUCCGCGACAGACGGUGGGUAGAAUUAGGGUUAGCUGUUGUUUUCUGUCUCUGCGAUGAACGAGCUCAAGCAACAAUGAAGAUCAAAUCGAGCAUCCGAAUCGUCCUCGAGAACCAAGCAGCUGUCGUUUCGUAUUUGGUACUUAACCCCCAGACGUUAUGAGUUUUCUUCAUUCAUUGGCUUUAAGAGAUAUCUUAACUCCACGGACGAGAAUCAAGCACGACGUCUCAUACAAUGAUAUCAUCCAACUCCAAAGCGGUUUCUUUACCUAUAAAAAGGGACCAUCUCCAGGCUGGUUCACCGGUGCAGCCAGAACUUCAGGCUUUCAGACUCACUUCUGACAAUCUGGUUCAGUGAUUCAAACAGUCUAGAUGUGCUAAUCUCCCGUCCCUGAAGAACGUCAGGUUCGGCGAUCAUGAUUUGCUUCUUAGCCUAGCCAAUACCAAGCACGCAUCUUUCAGAUAUGGCUUCUUAAAGACUGUUUAUGACAGACUUAUCAUUGAAACAGAUAAUAAAUUAAGAUGUUCAUAAUCUCUCGGACGUUAUUAGUGAGCUCACUGCUGUGAGAAGUACAGUGAGUGACAUUCCUCAAGGAAAAGAUAGAGUUAUGACAACUAUCAAGAUUUCAUAAAUUUUCUUACUUUUCUUUUGAAUAUGUCAUUGAUUUUUUUAUGUUCUGUUUUUCUUUUCACACUCAUAUCACUGUCACUUUGAGUCUGUUUGACUCACAAGCUGUUAUUUUCACAAGAAGCUUGAAGGAUUCUGGGGAGAUUCAAGGGUUGUUGUUGCAAAUAGCAUAAAACCAAAGAUGGUAGAAGGACGUUGUUUUUAAAUGCCACAUCGGGAACACAUGUAUCUUUCGACAACGAAACUGAUGCAGAGAAUUCUACUUUUUACGAGCUGGUUUCCAAAGACCUAGGAACACCCAUGUUCCUUCAUUUCUUAGAGGCUAUGCAAAGGUUGAGCCUCUUACUAUAGCUGAGCUCAAUGAGUUCGUCAUCAUUUCGGAGCCUCAGAACAUUGAAUGGUGACUGAUAUCAAAAUGGAGAAAGACUGGUGUUACGUCUCUUGCUCUAGGUGCAUGAAGAAGCUCCACCGAACGGUCUCAUCCUUUACUUGCGUGAACUGAAAUAUCUUGGUUUGCUCAGAUACCAUGUGGAGAUGAGCAUUGCUGAUGACACUGUUGAAGGGUGUCUUUGUUGGAUUCGAUUAGUGGUGAGAUGACAAAACUACAUAACGUGAGGGCCUAUGAGGCUGGUAAUUUAAUUGUAGGAACAUCUCUAAGUGGUAUCGCCAUCAAGAAACCUCAGGCAUCAAAGUCUUUAAAGGUGAUGAAGAAGCUAAGGGUUGUGAUGCAGAUGGAGUACUUGCUAUUUCAAAAAUGAUUAUGUAUUAACGGUGGUUUUUAUUUUAAAAUAUGUUCUCUUAUGUAGUUUGGUAUGGUUUAUUAAAAGUCUAAAACUAUAAUAAAAAUGCUUUUUUUGGAGAUU